CCAUGGCUCCAGCCCUGGAUGAUUACAGCACUGCUGGUCCCACCGUGAACUCUCCUCCAACUCUGUCCUUUGCCAUGUAACUACAUGUCUGAACGCAUCAACGCAACAUAAGGCUGCUCAUCAAGGGGAAAGAAAAGAUAGCAGUACUGAGCUCUUUCUUCUCCAAGGCAACAGAAGAAGCACACUGAAGUGAUGUCUGCAAGAAAGAUGCCAUCUGGAAUACCUCUUGAAAUUGCUAAACACUUCUGGUAUUAAGGAAUCAAAAAGUGGAGGAUUUUAGUAGCAACAAGUAGUGACCAAAAAUUUUCUGAGUAGAGAAUAUGAAAGAAUGAAUCAUUUAGGUAAGAUGGCAGAACAGAAAUACAAGAUGCAGCCUACUGAAUCACAAGGAAUUAGUUAAGAACAGAUGGAUGCUUUACUGCAAGACCACAGGAUCAGCUGCAUUGGAUCAGAGUACAGCUUUAUCUAGCUCAUCUAGAUUCAUCAUUCAUCAGCUUCAACCACAGUGGCUACUGUUAGAUGACUAAAAAAUUGCAUAACAAUAAGAUGGACAUCCAGUGAUCCUUUCCUAGCAUUUUCCCCGGUUUUCAGCAAAUUGCAGCUAAAUGCCUCCCUGAAAGGGAAAGCGUCUUUAUGCUUAAUUGUCCUUUAUGUAUUUUUCUGACAGUCUGGUGAUUGAUGAAAUACAACCUAAGAAAGAGUCA